rnacentral:rRNA from 1 species
UACAGAGGGUGCAAGCGUUAAUCGGAAUUACUGGGCGUAAAGCGCGCGUAGGCGGCCAACUAAGUCAGACGUGAAAUCCCUCGGCUUAACCGGGGAACUGCGUCUGAUACUGGAUGGCUUGAAUCCGGGAGAGGGAUGCGGAAUUCCAGGUGUAGCGGUGAAAUGCGUAGAUAUCUGGAGGAACACCGGUGGCGAAGGCGGCAUCCUGGACCGGCAUUGACGCUGAGGAGCGAAAGCCAGGGGAGCAAACGGG